rnacentral:lncRNA from 1 species
UUUUGCUGUAUUACAGAGACAAGUAAAAUAGUAAAAACUGGAAUGGUUUCAGAAACACUAGAACAUAUGGUACCCAUCCUAGCAAAAUUCAUUGCCAACGCAGAAACCAAAAAUAAUUGGAAUUUUUGGUGAGGUGAAUUUGGAGACACUGCCAAAAAAUGGACUCUUCCCAUCUCUAUGCCUUCUGCUUGCGGUCUCUGGCCAAAUGCUGUCCAUGGAUGAAAAACAAGGUUUCCCAGGAGGUUGCUAAAGUAGACGGCAUCAUGCAGUAGGACGGCCUUGCCCUGCUGAGGAGAAAUGACAAGGCACAUAUGGUGCUCAUUCCUGCAAACGUCAACUCCUUAUUUCAAAACCAAAAAAUGAAAUAAAAUGCUUUUCAAACAUUUAUGCACAGAUCAAUCGAGAAUGUGGUUCCAAGGAUGUGAGUAGGAUGCCGUGAAGCGGUUGUCAGAGUGUCCUGCAUAUCCCCUUGAUAUCUGGACUUCUUCUAGCUGGUGGUGCAGCCAGGGAACUGACUCACGAUCACUGCAGGGCAGCAUGCCUUUCAGCUCACACCAGGAAGACUCUGCAGAUUGAGUAACUUUCUUCCAAGGGGCUGUUAAACUUUAGAUCCUUCGUGACUCACAGAGUGAAGUCUCACAAUAACCAAAGUUUAGACAACAAAAUAUCCUCAAGAGCACUUAUGAUUUUUACAAAAUAUGCAGCCUCUUUGCCUUUACCUUUAAGUGGCCAUUGGCUGUAUUAGUCAGAACAGGCUAGGUUAUGCUGCAGAACAAACAGGACCUGGAAUCCUUCAACAAAGAUGGAGAAUGAUUGCCCAGAGGAAUGAUUGCCCAGAGGAAGACAGACUGGACAAUCCCUGACGCGCAAAUCCAGAAAUUUCAUAUGACCCCUACCAUCAAAGGGCUCAGCAAGCACCCUCUUACUAUACCUGCCAGAGCGCAACUACUGUGCCCUGGCAAUCAAAGCGGGGUGGGUGAUGCAGUGUUCAGAGAAGGAUGAGAAAAAGAGGACUAUGUGAAAAGCAAGAAUAUUCUGAUUGAUGACAUAUUUUAGGCUCUGAGGCAGGACUGGAUCUGCUGUCUGUCAGGCCUCAGAGCCCAAGCUAAGCCAUCAUAUCUCCUGUGACCUGCACAUAUACAUCCAGAUGGCCUGAAGUAACUGAAGAAUCACAAAAGAAGUGAAAGUGGCCCGUUUCUGCCUUAACUGAUGACAUUACCUUGUGAAAUUCCUUCUCCUGGCUCAUCCUGGCUCAAAAGCUCCCCCACUGAGCUUGUGACCCCCAUCACUGCCAGCCAGAGAACAACCCCUUUUGACUGUAAUUUUCCUUUACCUAUCCAAAUCCUAUAAAACGGCCCCACCCCUAUCUCCCUUUGCUGACUCUCUUUUCGGACUCAGCCCGCCUGCACCCAGGUGAAAUAAACAGCCUUGUUG